AGAGACAGCAGCAGCCGCGGGAAUACGUAGGUGGCAAGCGUUGUCCGGAAUUAUUGGGCGUAAAGGGCUCGCAGGCGGUUUCUUAAGUCUGAUGUGAAAGCCCCAGGCUCAACCGGGGAGGGUCAUUGGAAACUGGGAAACUUGAGUGCAGAAGAGGAGAGUGGAAUUCCACGUGUAGCGGUGAAAUGCGUAGAGAUGUGGAGGAACACCAGUGGCGAAGGCGACUCUCUGGUCUGUAACUGACGCUGAGGAGCGAAAGCGUGGGGAGCGAACAGGAUUAGAUACCCCAGUAGUCCCUGUCUCUUAUAA
rnacentral:rRNA from 1 species